rnacentral:rRNA from 1 species
UACGAGUACCCCAAGCGUUAUCCGGAAUCAUUGGGCGUAAAGAGCUCGUAGGCGGUCUGUCGCGUCGGCUGUGAAAACUCGGGGCUCAACUCCGAGCUUGCAGUCGAUACGGGCAGGCUAGAGUUCGGCAGGGGAGACUGGAAUUCCUGGUGUAGCGGUGAAAUGCGCAGAUAUCAGGAGGAACACCGGUGGCGAAGGCGGGUCUCUGGGCCGAUACUGACGCUGAGGAGCGAAAGCUAGGGGAGCAAACGGG